AGCAGUAGCCGCGGGAAUACGGAGGGUGCAAGCGUUGUCCGGAUUUAUUGGGUUUAAAGGGUGCGUAGGCGGCCCAAUAAGUCAGUGGUGAAAGCCUCCAGCUUAACUGGAGAACUGCCAUCGAUACUGUUAGGCUUGAGUAUACUUGAGGUAGGCGGAAUUGACAGUGUAGCGGUGAAAUGCAUAGAUAUUGUCAAGAACACCAAUUGCGAAGGCAGCUUACUAAAUUAUAACUGACGCUGAGGCACGAAAGUGUGGGUAUCAAACAGGAUUAGAUCCCCCGUAGUCCCUGUCUCUUAUACC
rnacentral:rRNA from 1 species